CGGGCAGGUGGGGCUCGUUAGCCGUGGUAGGCAAUUCACCUAGGAGAGCAAACUCCGAACAAUAAACCCGGGCAGGUUGGGCUCGUGAGCCGUCAUAGGUAAUACACCUAGGAGAGCAAACUCCGAACAAUAAACCCGGGCAGGUUGGGCUCGUGAGCCGUCAUAGGUAAUACACCUAGGAGAGCAAACUCCGAACAAUAAACCCGGGCAGGUUGGGCUCGUGAGCCGUCAUAGGUAAUACACCUAGGAGAGCAAACUCCGAACAAUAAACCCGGGCAGGUGGAGCUCGUCAGCCGUGGUAGGCAGUCUGCCUAGGAGAGCAAACUCCGAACAAUAAACCCGGGCAGGUGGAGCUCGUCAGCCGUGGUAGGCAGUCUGCCUAGGAGAGCAAACUCCGAACAAUAAACCGGGGCUUGUGGUGCUCGUUAGAUGUCGUAGACAAUCCACGUGAUGGGAACACCAAAGAAAAGGAAAAUAAAAAGGAACACCAGAAAAAGGAAAAUAUAGUAACAAAACAUCAAGAAAAUAAAAUAAAAAACACAAAUCAUCCACCUUCAGGCCCUAACAUCUUCAAAAUUAUGGGUGAGUCUUUUCUGGGGAGAAAGAGGCUCAUCCAGACCAAAGAACAUCAAAAAGGGAUGAUAUAGAAAGGAACACCAAAAAAAUGGGAAAAAGAGAAAAAAACAUCGCAAGAGAAAAUUAACAACAAUAACAGAACAACGUCAAGAAAAGUAACAUACAAAGAAACAUCAUCCACCAUUCGGCCCCAAACUAACAUCACCAAAAUUAUGGGUGGGUCUCUUCUGGGAGGAAAGCGGCUCACCCAGACCAACGAAGAACAUCAACAAGAGGAUGAUAUGAAAUAAAAGAACAUUAAAAAACACGAAGAAAAGAAAUAAGAAGAAAAAGAACAGAAAAAAACAUCGGAAAAGAAAAACAAGAAGAAAAACACAUCAAGAGAAGAAAAAUAUAAGAAACAUCAUCCACCUUUCGG